rnacentral:rRNA from 1 species
CUGACGGAGCAACGCCGCGUGAGUGACGAAGGUCUUCGGAUUGUAAAACUCUGUCUUUUGGGAAGAACGGCUCAUAUGUGAAUAAUGUAUGGGAUUGACGGUACCAAAGGAGGAAGCCCCGGCUAACUACGUGCCAGCAGCCGCGGUAAUACGUAGGGGGCGAGCGUUGUCCGGAAUUAUUGGGCGUAAAGAGCGCGCAGGCGGUUUGUUAAGUCUACCGUGAAAGCUUACGGCUCAACCGUAACGGGUCGGUGGAUACUGGCAGACUUGAGGGCAGGAGAGGAAAGUGGAAUUCCCAGUGUAGCGGUGAAAUGCGUAGAGAUUGGGAGGAACACCAGUGGCGAAGGCGACUUUCUGGACUGCAACUGACGCUGAGGCGCGAAAGCUGGGGGAGUGAACGGGAUUAGAUACCCCGGUAAUCCCAGCCGUAAACGAUGGGUACUAGGUGUAGGAGGUAUCGACCCCUUCUGUGCCGGAGUUAACGCAAUAAGUACCCCGCCUGGGGAGUACGGUCGCAAGACUG